UUUUCUCUUCUUUUUUCUUUUUUUCCUUCAUCUCUUUUUUCUCUUUUUUUUUUUUUUUUCUUCCUUCCCAUCCCCAACCCACCCGUUCCCCGGGGGCCAUUUUGGGCUCCCCCAUGCCGCACUGUCUGCCAGUCCCCGCCCGGAGCCGGCAGCAGGUGCGCGGUGGGGGCCAUGCAGGAGCUGCGGGCUGCAGCCGCUGUCCGCUUUUUCCGUCGUUGCCGGGCGGAGAGAGGUGCUGUGAGGCGCGUCCCUCCACUGCAGAAAAGCGGGGCUUCUCUGUAUGUCUGCUUGCAGAGGAAUUACCACUCCUGAGCAAGUAGGGCUCGCGUUAAUGUAUCCCUUCCCGUUCUCCAGCGCUUUUUCCCCCGAGGUAACAGCCAUAGGGCACUGCUAUGCUUGGAGCCGCGGAGCCUCCGGGCGGCCUAAGGGCGGAGCGGGGUGGAGACUGCGCACAGGUCCGGCGUCCAGCAUCGCUCCGAGCCGCUCCCCGCCGGGGGAACCGGGGGAACGGUGCUCCGGGAUGGCUGCUUUUUUUUUUUUUUCUCGUUUUUUAUCCCCCAUUUUGCCCUCUUCAGAAGUGCGGUGCAAAUGAAGGCUGGGGCGGGGUGGCCGCCGCGGGACCACGGAUCCCGCUGGCCGGGAGCGCUUCUAGAGAUUUUGGGAUUGCUCCUUUCAGACAGUGGGGGACGUGUAAGGUGCAGUAGUUGGGCAUGGCGUCCCGACAGAGCAGCAGCUGUCACCCAGCAGCUCUAUCCCAUGGCACUCAAGAUUGUUCUGAGCUUCUUUAUGGCUCUUAAAACUUCUGUCAUGGAGUUGUGUCUUGUAUUUUACCAUCUGACUUCUAAACAAACGCAUCUCAUUUCCUACACACUGUGAGCAGCCCCAUAUGAGUAAGUGUUCUGCAGCUUUUAUUUUCUCUUACUGGGAAGCUUUCAGAACAGUAGAGGAGAGACAGCCAUGGCUGAGAACAAGGAAGCUGUAUUUUCUUCCUACUGAUGGACUCAUCGGUAACUGCUAGUAAAAGCAAGAAAAAAUACUGUUGUCUUUUUCUUUUUUUUUCCCCACCUGAUUUGAUUCCAACUAGAAGUUUGAGGUGAUUUCUUGCCAUUCACACCAAAGUGGUUCUGACAGAUUGAGGAAAGAGCAGAGAACCGAGGAAAUCAUGUGUUGCGAAUGUGAGGGAGAUAAAAGUAGAGGCAUGCAGCGUUGCCAGGACUGUAUGUGUGGGUGUGCAGCGUUCGUCCCAGUUCGCAGCAAGCAGCCUGGCAGCCUGGCAGGGCUCCUGCCAACAGGUCUCAAUGGGGCUGAGCCUUCAGUAGCUGCUGUGGGGCUGCAGCCAUGAGUGUGCAGUGAUAGAGCUGUGCUCCCUUGGCGGGCUGCACUCACACCCGCAGAUUGUUUCGUUUUAUUUCAGUUCUGGGAAGUAUAAAAAUUGCACGGAGACUUGCUUUAAGAAAACAAAAUGUCAAGCUGAUGAUGAGUCAAAAAAAAAAAAACCAAAAAAAAAAAAAACAAGGAAGGAAAAUAUAGUGAGUAUUUGUAAAUCCUUCGCAGUGACAUCUUUCAGUGGUUAUCACUGAGUAGCACCUCUGCAGAUGUGCUCUCGGUGAAGCCAGCUAUUGGGUUUUCAGGCUGCCAACUGAAAGCACAGCUCCACAUGCCCUGCAGUUUGCAUUCCCCACCUUUUGGUGCCUACAGAGAUCAAUGAAUGCACUCCUGCGGGUCAAGUGCUGCCUCCUGCCCCCCAGUCAGUGGAUGCUGCUUGUUUGUGCGGUACUCUCGUUAAAUGCAUGAAAUGCUUGAGCUGUCACUGCUUCCUAGGUGAUGGGGAAGGGCAGAAUGUCCUCUGGCUCAGGGCUGUGCAGGAUGGUAAGACAAGGAUGGCGGGAUGGCACCCCUGGACUGCAGGGGCACACUGCAGUCGGGCUGCAGGCGUGAGCCUCAUCCUUCCCUCCUCACACCUUUGCAUGCUUCCUCUGUGAGCUUGGGCACUCAGACCAAUUAAUUCUAUUAACAAAGGGUGUAAAUUAGAAGUGUCUGUGAACUGUAUUGAGCCUCAAUUUGCAUGGUCUUAUUCACAACAAAAGUGGCUGCAAUUUGAUUUAAAUUAAUUCACUUUCAGAAUAAAAUAACACUGAGUAGAAUAAAAGCAGCUUUAGUUUUGAAUGGUUGUCUGCGUAGAAUUGUUUGUGGUUUAACUAAUCCACUUCAAAAAUAACUCUUAUUAAUUUUUGUGGGCUUUUCCCUCUAGGUUAGCUUGCUUUGUCUCUUUCUUUCAGUCUCCUAUCAGUAAAAUGGAGAUAGUAGUAGCCUGCUAACAUUUUAAAAUUGCUGUGUUGAAUACUCCUGGUAACUGCAGCAUUUUGCCUUCCACUCGGUGCGUAGGUUUCUCAAAACCCAGGACUUGAUUUUCUACACAUGUGUAGAAUUGUUGCCUGGCAGUGUUCUACAGGCUCUGUACGCAGCUGUACACGGCCGCACAAGACAGAUAGCAGUGGGGAAUGAAGGCUUUGCUGCGCAUUUUGAACUCUGACCAAACAACUCCUUGGCUUUGGUUCCGUGUUUUCUUCAAAGACUGUGGGCCAAGACUUAAGAACUGUCUAACUUUUGUCAUCUUAAUGAACGGUUUCAGUGGUGUUAAUGGGAACUAGGGCACUUUCUUUAUUAAUGGAAAUCAGGUCAUUUAAUUACCUAACAAAAAUGCACCUAACCUCGUCUCACUGCUUUCUGCACUUCAUGAAUUAUGAACUUUAAUCUGUUUUAGAGAAAGCUCUACUAAAACGGAUGAAGCUGCAGUGGGUAUAAAAUUAUCUUUUUAUAAUGGAAAUGCUUAUUGUAAAAAUCAACACACUAGCAUAACUUUCUUAUUGGAAGUCGCUGCUAUUUAAAUCUUCGCAGUGAUGUAGCAUAGUUUGACUAAGUCAUGGUAUGUAACUACUGAAAGGCCAGAUGAACACAUCAGCACAUCUUCUGUCAAAAAUGGGAACACUGAGAUAUUACUAUUUUUUUUUAAAUCAAAGCUUGGUGGGUUUUGGACUGGAGGGAUUCUUUUAUUCCUUCCCAUUCCUCCCCCCCAUCCUACUGUCUGCUUCAACGUUUUCCUUUCUUUCUUGAGUGGUUUCACUCCAAGCGGGACUUCUUUUGUGCCUUUCAGUUGCCAGAAGCUGGAGAAUUGUCAUUAUUUGAAUUUUGCUGUUGGUUGUUUUUUUAAAAUAAAAACCAAGAUGCUUUCCAGAGAGUCAGGAAGAAACCAGCUCUCGGAAAGUGCUAAGGAAACAGUGGCUUUAGCUGAACUUUUCUAUAUGAGAGAAAGGUAUAAAUCAUCUUCAGGCUUCAAAUCUAGCUGUUAAUAAUAAAGCACAUCACCUAAUGCUCUAAAAAUACCCCUGUGUAUAGACUAUGCAUACAACAAAAAUAAGCAACCCCAGAUAUUCUGGCAAGAUCUGUGGUAUUUUAUUUCACUUCCUCAGUAACAGUAGUCAUUGUUGGCACCUGGAAAUGACUGUGAAAAUACAGAUCCCUGUAAAGCUGGGUAAAUAAAGGGACAUGCUCCACUUCUGCUUGUCAGUAGAAGAAACUGUGACGUCUGACAGUUAUUAAUGAAAAUAUUUUCUCAAUCUCUGCCAUAAAGAAUGCAGAGGCAAAAUAAAUCCUUGGUAAAAUCUGUUCCCAAAAUAAGCCAGCAUAGAUGCAGUUCAGAGCCAGAAACUUCCACCGCCAUAGAAUUUAGUUAAGGAUCUUAAGACAAAAAGGUAACCUGUUUUUCCAUGAACUCAAAGUUACAAAUGCUGCCAUGAAUGUGUGUCUAUGAAGAGAACCACCAUCUUAAACAGCUGAAAGUUCCCUUUUGUCCAUCAGUCUUUUUCAGAGGGAAAAAAACUGCUGUUGUCUUGGUUGUCCUCAGCAUUGUGUAUUAGAACUGCCUGCUCUGAAGCAGGACUUUUCUCUGAUCCUAUAGUUAACAUUGCAUCUGAUCCUGCUGGGCUUAACUGGGAAAUCUUGUGUUGACUGAAUAUGGCUUUUGUUUGAAUAAAGAAAUUGAAGAGCUCUCUGGAAAAGCUGGGCCUAGUUCCAAUUUUCUUCUCAAUUCUAAAAUAAAAGGAUGCUGUCAAGGUAUUUGUGAUUUAUGGGGGCAAAUGUGUUUCUCUCCUUCAAAAUCUUGUAUCGCUUUGGCAGCAGUAUAACAUCUUUUCUGAUUCAUUUUAUUCUAUGCACCUUUUCAGUUUAUUCAGGAUAAAAUAAUAAAAUAAAUGUGUGCUUUAAUUUAGAGGAAAAGAGAUAAGACUUUCUCUUUGGGAGGAAAGCGCGCUCUCACCGGGGUUCUGAGGACACGUCAUGCUAAUUGUUGGUGACUUUUAAAACUGCUCUUUGUGGUGCAAGAGACGAAAAAUUCUGUGUAGACUGAGGGCUUUCCAAAACGCUAAAUGCUUUCUUUUGCUUGGUUUCCCACAUUUUUGGCCAAGGAGAAAAACAGUUGAGACUGUCACUGUGAGCAUGUUUCCUUCCUGUCUUGUAUUGGGAUGCACUGUUUGUUUAUUACAUGCCUCAAAAAUGUGAUGGAUGUGAACAGAUUCUGUUGAAUUUAUGGUCUUCUGGGAUGACAAUAAGAAAAAGAAAAAAAAAAAAGUGCACCUGCAGUUUCUUAUCUUCAUACUCUUUUCAUGGAAAGUAUCCUGCACAAAACCUGCUGCCAGCCCAUGACGUUCUGAUGUGGAGACAAAAAGAUUUUUGGAUUAAUGACAUACAACCUCAUGCCCAGUGAAUGCAACCAGCCUUCCCCAGCAGGGGAAGCCAAACUCAGCUGGAGACUUUCUACUCAUAUGAGUGUGUGGGUUGCCAAACAGCAGGAUGCUCUUCAAAGGAUGUCCUCCAAAAGUGCCUUUGGUCUCCAUACCUGAAGCAUGUUAAAUUUUGGCUAAAUUGCAAAGCAUCUUCCUUUCUUUGUCAGUCUUAAAGUCCUGGUAGCAGAAAGUGGACUUGGCUCCUUUUAAACUGCAGUGGGAUGUAUAAUCUGCUUGAUAAAGCAUCCUUAGCAGAAUAAGAUAGGUAAUCUUUUCUGGAGGAAAAAUGGAGUAAAAGCUCCAGUGAAUAAAUACAAGAUUGUUUUCAACACUCUCCUCCUGGACUCCUGCUGUUGAGUGACUGCAAAAUUCAGAGAGAUUAUUUUGGCAGUUCCAAAAAUCUGUCACACAGAUCGGAGUUUUUUUUUCCCUUGCAUUUGUCAAUGUGUGACUAAGCACAAGUAUUACAGGAAGCAUGGAAAUGUUUGGGCUUUAAAGAAUGGUUGUGGAAAAAGACCUCCUACUGGUUUAACAACUGCUGUUUAAUAAAAUAAUUUUCGGAUGUCCAAAUUGCUGAUUGUUCCGCUGAGGGUUACGUUCUGACCAGAAGGGAUCCCACCAGUCCCAUGUCAUCAGCCUGGGCACUUUGUGAAGUUUUCUGCAGCCAUUUCCUGCUUCAAAACAAUGAAGGAUGAGAGAUGCUCAUCGUUACUCCCUAUGGUGCAGGGAAGUGUUCAUCUCAGUCUCUAGGACGGCAUCAAAAUCUGAGGAGAAGGAGUCAAAACAGUUUCACUGAGGCAGCCAGCAGAUGCCAGGAAGUGUUGCUUAUUGACAUUAAUCAUUACCCUGUUGAUAGCCCUGGGCGUGCUGCUGUAAUUGACCAGAACCAAAUCCAGUAAUCAUAUCAUGGAAAAUAUACAUCACAUUUAUUUCACAUCUGAAUUGCAGUAAUAUGAAUUCAUGGCAAAAUUCUCAGUGACUACGUCAGAAGCAGGAGGAGAGCCUUUGUCUGCUAGCACAGAUGUAACUAAGCUGUUAAGUACAGUCUGAUGUGCUUAGGCAGGAGGCUGAGGCUACAUCAAGAAGUUAUAAAAUUAUCCUCCAGGAUCUUGUAGCCUAAAUCCUAUUCAGAUAAAUAUAGAGAAGUCUCUGUAGUUUGUAGUGUUUGUAGAACUGUGUUUUCCAAUUGUGUUUUCUGUUGUUUUCUUUGAGCAUUACCCUUCAAUAGAUGGGGCUGCUACAAUCUCUUCAAAGAAUAUAAAUACUCUAUUAAGAAUGUGUAAAAAGGCCUUCCAAUAAGACAGUUGAAGAAGCGUUUCUUUUUACAAAAUUAUCUACAGAAAAUGAUGAGAACAAACAACAGCUGAACAGUAAAGCAUCAAGAAGAAACACAUCUGAGGUUUAAUUUGAUCACUUUAUGCCUGGGAAACAGAAUGAGGAGUUAGUUAUUGAGCAAUAUUUGUAUCACAUUGACUAUUGUGUUAAUGAAUUCAAUUUUUAUUAAAUAGCAUCAACAUGUUAGAUACUACACUGGAAAGAAAUAAAGAUCAGUAGUUAGCCAAAGUAGUCAACUGAUUUUCUUUCUAUGGUGAACAUAAAAUCUAUGUUGUUUGUUCAACAAAACAGUUCUUAAAGAGAUGAGGCUUGAGAAUACCUUAAGUUGCCAUGAACGGCAGGGUCCAGGGGGAACAGAAAAGAUUUGAUGUCAAAACUUGACUGCAGAUAUUCCUUUUGACCAUUUCUUAGAGUCUUCCCUUACUUAGCUUACUUCCUAAGGAAGACAGCUUCUUCAUAAUGAUAAGGAAACAGGCUGGUGCACGCAGCUGCCUUACCUUCACAAAUUCACUUUGGAGAUCUUUAAAAUUUUCUGUUUCUUUCAUGUUUUCAUCUUUCUUUUUAGUCAUUGUGGUACUUUUAAAUACUGUGGUAUUUAAAAGCUAAACAAAACCCAGAGUGUAGCCUUUUUGUUUCAGUUCUCCAGUAACAGAAAUAUUGCAGUCAACCAAAACUUCAAAAGCUACAAAUUUAAGUUGACUGUUGCAUCUUAUCCAGCCGCAUACUACUUCAGUUUGGGAAGCAUAUGCAUUUUAACAGUGAUUCUCAGUUUUCAAACCUAAUUAUUAGUAGCCAGAGAGAAAUGGUUGAGACAUUUCUGUUUUUCUCUAACUUGAUCCACAUGGGAUCUCCUUUGAAAAACUUGUUGCUGUAAAUUAAGCAAAUCCUUAGGUGAUUUGUUGUCUUAAAACUUCUGAGCCCAGGUUGAAUGUGCUGUACAAUCAUAUUAUUUCCUUGUUGAAAACUGUACACCUUUGGUAAUGAAAUCAGAACACAAUGAAGUUGGAAUCCAUCCUACCGUGACUUUAUCCACACCUUUCUGCUCUAUAUAGACCUGCACUUAAAAGAACUGGUGAAAAAUUCACAGUCCUGCUGCUUUCCCUGCGUCUACCCAUUCCUAGGAAAUGGCUGUCAGGUCAGUUAGUUAUGUCCCAAGAGGAAAAACUUUAAAACCAAAGCUAUCAAGGUUGAAUUUCAUAUUGCUGUACCUCCAGAAAGGUUUGAGUUACAUUAAUGAUGAUUUUGUGGUUGAAUUUCUUGGCCAGGGUGGUAAGUGAAGGACUUCCUGGUAAUGAGAUGCUCACCUAACUGGCUGGAUGUCCAAAUUUUCCUCUUAGUAUUCAGCAAACCUGUAGGCUGCUUAAAAUUCACCUUUUUCCAUGUAUAUUCUUGGCCCCAGCUGCUUUUCCAAGUGCCAAAACUUUGCUAGGAAAAAAUGAAGACCCGUAAGAAUGCAUACUCUGAUUUUACUUCAUGGAAGAGAAAUCUUUUUCUAUGCUGGCAUUAAACUCUUGAAGGUGAACAAAGAGGGAGACAUGCCUAGAAAUGCACAAAGAAGCUGGGUUAAUUAAGAGAGCUCCCACUGCCCUCCUUCAUGAAAGCUGUUAUGCUUUUGAAACCCUGGAGAUGGUUUCACUGUGAAUUUGUGAGGUUAGGAAUACAGCUGGGAUGCUGAGACUGUGGGCUGGGUGGUAUGUAUAGAAUGUGUUUGAUCAGUUUCCCCAGUUGUAUUAGAAAGAGAUGGCAUAAAAGAAACAGGGUGGAAAUAAGCAGAAAGGAUGAGCAGCUCCCUCUGGGAUAAGUCUGAACUGAUUUAGAUUGCGGGAAAUCACUUUUUAUGUUGAAUGUAUUUUCUUAGAGAUUUCAGUGGGGAGAUUUUUUUUUUCUGGUCUGUAUCAAAAUCACAGAAAAUAGUUUUUAGCCUUCAGAAGCACAUGACUCAAACUUUGCCAUUCAUUUUGCCAGACGUUAGCAAAGCAAGGUAAGGCCCAAAUUUCUGUGUAUACUUUCUUUCAAGUAAUGUACCAAUCUCAUCUCACCCUCAUUAUUUUACACAAUUAACGUUAGUCAGUUUUCAGUGAUUUUCACUGUUCCAAAAAAUACUUUUCUUGCCUGAAACACACCUACUGUGGGUGUACUUGAACACUACUAUCACUGGUCUAAAUACAUGUAAUUGCAGCAUGUUGGACAAACAACAUGGGUGAUGGAAAACAUGGUGCUGCUCUUUAUAAGUCAUUGAAGUUGAACAAUGAAUCUUCAUCGCACCCUGUUAAGCUUACCAAAAUUAAGGUUGUCCAGGAGAUCAUAACACUUUCAUAAAAAGGAGGUACUUACAGCACUGUAAGUCGUAUUUGGAGGCAAAAGCACCUUCAGCUCUCAGUGAGUAUAUAGAAUGGUGCUGACAUGCAUCAGAAUGCGUUGUGUCUCCUCUUCCCUGGUGAGCUGGGCUCUGAUCAUCUGAUUCCUGUACCAGCAAGGAGGGAUUUCCUUUGAUGACAGGACCAUGGAUAAACAUGGCAGAAAGUAAAGAGCAUUAAUGAUAACAGAUGUUGUAGUGUUUUGCUGUGUUUACAAGACUCCUCUGUACUUUGUGUAUAAUAUGAAUUAUAUAUAAAUGAUUGAUUCUCAUUUGAUUAAUAUAAGAUGAAAUGAGCAGCUCAGAGCUUUCUAAAGAUG